rnacentral:rRNA from 1 species
GUGAGGAAUAUUGGUCAAUGGGCGGAAGCCUGAACCAGCCAAGUAGCGUGCAGGAUGACGGCCCUAUGGGUUGUAAACUGCUUUUAUACAGGAAUAAAGUUAGCCACGUGUGGUUAUUUGUAGGUACUGUAUGAAUAAGGACCGGCUAAUUCCGUGCCAGCAGCCGCGGUAAUACGGAAGGUCCAGGCGUUAUCCGGAUUUAUUGGGUUUAAAGGGAGCGUAGGCCGUCUGUUAAGCGUGUUGUGAAAUGUAGAUGCUCAACAUCUGAAUUGCAGCGCGAACUGGCAGACUUGAGUGUGCGCAACGUAGGCGGAAUUCGUGGUGUAGCGGUGAAAUGCUUAGAUAUCACGAAGAACUCCAAUUGCGAAGGCAGCUUACGGGAGCACAACUGACGCUGAAGCUCGAAAGUGCGGGUAUCGAACAGGAUUAGAAACCCCAGUAGUCC